GGAUGGAUGGCCGAGCGGUUUAAGGCACCGGUCUUGAAAACCGACGUAUGUGCGCGUACCGUGGGUUCGAAUCCCACUCCAUCCGCCA
rnacentral:tRNA from 1 species